rnacentral:misc_RNA from 1 species
GACUACUGGCAGGAUCAACCAGGUAGCAAUCACUUUUAGACCUCAAUGCAUCCCAAGGACGAGCGCGCGGAACGGAAGGGCUCCGCGAGCUCCGAGGAAAGCACGAGGGUCGCCCGAGCGGAAGCAAAGCGCUUCGACACGUAGAUACCGCACGGCCAACGAAGGACCGCGCGAUAACAAGAGGAAUCACCGUACCCGAGAGCACGCGGACAGCAUCGACGCACCGACGCGGACGGAAACGCCCAGGAGAUGGACGACCGACCGGGAGGAGAGCGCCGACGCCCGCACGAUGUCUCCCAACGCAGGGGAUGCGGGGGAGAGACGAGGGAACCGAGACAGGGACGAGAACGAGUCCGUUUACCGCAAUCGGGUAUCUAACGCAGGAACCCACCCAUCGCCCGCGGCCGAAUCUCGGGGCGGGCGAUCAAAUGAAACGGAUACGGCCGCAGCAGUUCGGCGCCCGUAGCACGGAGCCUGCCGCGGGAACAUAUCCCGUAUGCCACUCAUGCGUCGUCCCAACGCUGCACGAGAGAACGCCCAACGACCCGACGCCGCCUCCCGAAGGAGGAGGCGCCGGACGACCGGGACGAGCCACGAGCAAGCCUGCUAG